UUGAGUCGGAAUCAAUAUGACGGAGUCAUAUUUCGGAAUGAUUCCGACAAUCUGCCCCACUCGAUGGAGGAGAGAGGGGCGUUACCAAAG
ncrna:unclassified sequences GA-cis RNA